ACGAACGCUGGCGGCGUGCUUAACACAUGCAAGUCGAACGGAAAGGCCCUGCUUUUGUGUGGUGCUCGAGUGGCGAACGGGUGAGUAACACGUGAGUAACCUGCCCUUGACUUUGGGAUAACUUCAUGAAACUGGGGCUAAUACCGGAUAGGAGCUCCUUCUGCAUGGUGGGUGUUUGAAAGUUUCGGCGGUUGGGGAUGGACUCGCGGCUUAUCAGCUUGUUGGUGGGGUAGUGGCUUACCAAGGCUUUGCCGGGUAGCCGGCCUGAGAGGGUGACCGGCCACAUUGGGACUGAGAGACGGACCAGACUCCUACGGGAGGCAGCAGUGGGGAAUAUUGCAGAAUGGGCGGAAGCCUGAUGCAGCAACGCCGCGUGCGGGAUGACGGCCUUCGGGUUGUAAACAGCUUUCGACUGUGACGAAGCGUGAGUGACGGUAAUGGGUAAAGAAGCACCGGCUAACUACGUG
rnacentral:rRNA from 1 species